UGAAAAUUACCAGUAAAGAAACGGAGUUUUCUUUAAUGCAAAGAAAGAUGAAUAAUUGAUGUUUAUGUUUUAAUUCAAAUGUAGGCUGCACUGUAUAUUCUAAGGUAAAUAUAUUUUUGUGUUAGUUUUGGACCUGUUGCUCCUUUAUUUUAUUCACCAAGAGAUUAGAACUGUGAAGGCAUGGGAGAAUGAACACUCUCAUUUUGGCAGGUUAACCUGGGGUAUAUUGAGCACAACAACCAACAUCCAGAGAGUAGGUGUUCAUAUUAGCUUUGAUAAAAACCAAUAAGUAUAAAGAGUCUGGCCUUUUUUUUUUUUUAACAGUUAAUACCAAGUGUCAAGCAAAGAAGCACACGUUAUCAAUUAUUUUCUAGCUUUAGACAUAGUUGAGGUCCUUCCCCCUUAAAAAUUGGUCACAGUAAGUGAGGCAUUUAAAGCAGGUCAACAUGAGUUUAAAAAUAUUGGCUUGGGAGCUGCUUCGGUCCUUAUCUUUGUCCUUCUGUUUAUUUAUAGACUGGAAAGGGAAGACAGCCUUUCCUGCUUUUUCAGUUUCCCAAUGAUGAUAUCUCAGUUUGUAAUGAACUGAUUCAAAGGAAGAAGGCAUUCUUUCUACAUCUGCAGAAGGAACCACCACUAUUAAAAGCUGGGGUCAGGGUUGUCAAAUUCAAAUGCUUACGUGAUUUCCACCAUUACUCUUCAUUUAAAAAUUAAUGCAACUUUUUCAAAAAAUUCUUAGCUUUAAAAUGUAUUAGAGGUGGUGUUAUAAAAAGAAUAUAAUAAAAAUCAGUGUUAUAAAAGGAUAUAAAGAUAAUUGCUACAAGCCAUAGUAAAGCUAAUAACCCUUUUUUGGCAUUUCAUGGCUGGUCCUGAUAUCAAAUUUUGUUACUGUUGGCAAGAAAUUAAGGUUAAUGGAGCCUAUGAUCUGAUUAUCCUAUUUAUAACAGUAUUUUAUAUUCCUUCAUUUAGCAGACACUUUCUGAGAGUGCUGAGUGCUAAGGAUUCAGAGAUAGGUAAGACCUAGCUUGUGCUUUUGGAGAGCUCACAGGCUUAAUUAUCAAGGGCAUCAUCCAAUCCACUGUAAGAGCCACUGUAGCAUCUCUUGACCCCUUGCGCAUAGAGGAGGCAUGCUCUAGUAUAUCUUCAUCUCUGGGUCUUUGAGAUUUCAGCAAGCUAGUCAGGCGUAGUAUGAAGAGUGGGCCAAGACUCCUUCAUUAAUCCAUUCACUCACACGUAUAAACUGACAUUUGUGGCAGGAAUGCUCUGUGCUCUUUGCUAGCAAUGCAAAGGUGACAAAAACACGUUGUUGUACUCAAGGAACUUACAGUUCAAUUUUGGAAACAAACAGGUCAAUUUACUUAAUUUCCCCACCCAGUGCAGUAAGUGCAAUGAGAUCAGUAACCAUAGACUUUCAUGGAGAAUAAGGUAGAGGCAUCUGGAGGUAGUGCUAUGGAUUCAGCAGCCCUGUUUCAAGUUCCCUAUGCCAGCUACACUCCCCAGCUGCUUUUGCAGUAACGGGGAGGAGGCCUGUGACCGAGUUGUGGUGAAUGGAACGGGGGAAGAAGUGAUGUACAUCACAUCAUGGCUUGAACAUAAAAUUCUUCACGUUCUUCCUUCCCUUUCUGAGAUGACCUUGGAGACCAGGUGUGGAAGAGGUUAGCAUUGCCCAGAGAGAAGGAUCUUGAGUCCUUGGAGGAUUGUGUGCAGAUCACUCACUCCCCUAUAAACAGUGCCCCUCCCAAACAAUAUUGGACUGUAAUUUAAAUGAGAAAUAAACUUUUGUUGUAGUAAGUCCCUAAAUUUUUAAAGCUAAUUUUAUAGCAGUUAAUCUAUAUCGAUUAAUACACUGUCUGUCCACUGUCAGGAUACCUGCCCCUCGCAAGUGUUAUGUGAUGAGGGGAAGGAAGAGUUCCAGGUGGAGAGCAGCAUUGAUGAGGGAGAAACCGUGGACUUUCAGGGAACAGCAGUUUGGUGUGUCCAGGGCAGGGCAGGAGUGGAGGGUAGUACUAUGGAUGGGACUGGAGAGAGAAGUCAGGGACAGAUCAGGCAAAGCUUUGGGGGCCAAGCUAAGGGAGGAGAACCAUCUCGACCUGAGGGAAAAGCAGCCUAAGGAUAGAGUGUAUAAUGAUGAUGUUCAAGCAAUAAAGAGAAGGAGCUUGCCCAGCGCUGGUAGAAGGUUUAAUGAUAGAAGCAAUUUGUCAUAAUAGAGAAAUUUUUCAAUAAUGGGCAUGCUUAGUGAGUUUUCUCACGUACGUGGUCUCCAAAAGUUCGUGAAUGUAGACCCUUCCGUUGAGGCUAAUGUGGCCAUGGGCAUUGAUAGAACAUGAGAAACGUGAAGGAGCUGGGAAUGUUUAGCUUGAGGAGAGGGAACUUGGAAAGACCAUAAUCUUUACCUUCAAGAAUGGAUAGCAGGUGGAAGAGGGACAUACUUGACUGAGUGCCCUCAAAGGGCUAGUACGACAAAUAGGUAGAAGGGAAGGGGACAGAUUUGAGUUCAGCACCAGGAAGAACUUUCUGUCAUAAUUCUGAAGAACAAUCAUUCAGUCCUGGAGAAGAUGGCAAUGUGUUUUAUGAACAGGAGGGGUUCAUAAACCCUUUACAGCUUUACAGCUUGGAGGUAUUGUCAUGGAGGUGGCUCUCAAGUAUUGGAUGAGGCUGGGACUUUUAGGGUCUUUGCUACGAGUAUGGUAUCCUUUGAAGACUGACUUUACUUACAUUCACCCUGAUUUCAAAGUCAAGGAAAUGUAUGAUAUAAGAUAAAAACAAAACUUCUAAAGAGAGAAUACUGUGCUUGCACAAAUGUCUUUACCUAGAGCUAACCUUUUGAAACAUAAUACACACUUUUUGUUGGGUCUGACGAAUAGGCAUUUAGCCCGGUUAACAUGGCUAAAAGAUCUUGCAGUGAUAUCACUGAAUUGUAUCUCCAAUGUCAGCCCCCAACAACAAGACAGUGGGGUGAAUGAAAAGGCAGAUACUAUCUUUCUCUGAGAUAUUGGGGGAAGAAACUUCCCCUUAACUCCCUGAUCUAUCAAAGCCAGUGGCUCAGCUGUUCCUCUGAAACUGUCAGAAUUUUUCUCAUCGCGGCCUCUGAACUGAUGGAUGGGGACUGAUUGGUCUUGCUUACCAAAUGUGCAUUGUAGCAAGACACAACUUUAUUUAAAAUACCAUUAA